rnacentral:lncRNA from 1 species
UGAAAACUCAAAAUUCAGUUUCCAGCUGUUUUCCCGCCUCUGCUGUCAAGUUCUGCUGUCAAGGUGAUUUGCCCAGUUUUUCUGAGAGUGAUUUGGGCAAAUCACUGGGCAAAUCGCUCUCUGGGAUUCAGUCCAGUUUCUGUCUCUGUAGUUCUGCUGUCAAGGUGAUUUGCCCAGUUUUUCUAAGAGUGAGUUGGGCUAAUCACUGGGCAAAUCACUUUUGCUGUCAUUUUCUACACUUUUUCUCCAACUCUUCAAUUUCUUCCUUUUCUAUAAAAACAUAACAAAAACACAAUUUAAGCUAGAAAAAUAUGUAAAUAAACAGUAAAUAAUAUAUUAAAAACAUGGCUAAAUUAUGCUUGGUCA